AUGGCAUUUCUCAUCACGGUGCGCGCCAAAAAGAAGAAGAAGCAGCUGGAACGAAUGAGCAUCACACAUCUGAGCGCCAUGCGUCGCGGCCGAUCGAAAUUUCGCGGGAACGUGGGCGUGGGGGCGAGCAGAACAGAGCGGGAACAGAGGAGCCACCGACGGGCUGGCUCACAUGAAUCUCGGGCCGGCCGAUGUGGUGGCCGCCGCGGUGGUCGACACCAUCAUCAUGCGCGCGAAGUCCUGGAAGCCGACGAAGCCGUCGCCGUCGGCGUCGACGCCGCCGAUCAUGCGGCGGCAGUCGUCGAGGCUGCACCCGUCGGCCUCGCCGCCGAGGAUGGCGACCAUGACGCCGCGGAGCUCCUCGGCGGUGAUGCGGCCGUCGCCGUCGGCGUCGAACACGUUGAACGCUUCCAUCAGCUCGUCCUCGGGGCCGGCCUCCCCGGCGGCCGCGAUGGCCGCCACGGCGUCGAGCUCGUCGUCCGACGGCUCCUCGUGGCCCAGCCGCCGGAGCACGGCCUCCAGCUCCCGCCGCGAGAUCUCCGCGGGGAGCACCGACCGCGGCGUGGACGCCCGCGGCAGCGCGUCCUCGGUGGACGACGAGGUGGAGGAGGAGGACGCGGACGCGAACGACGGCGCCUCGCUCCGGGAGAUGCCCCGCUUGCCGCUGCCGCUGCCGCCGCCGUCCUGCUGCUGCUGCUUCUUGCCCCGCUUGGGCGACGGGAUGGAGAGCUUCCGGGCCAGCGACUGCAUGGAGAGCUUCAUCCUUCUUCGAAGAGAGAAACAAUGGAGAGGAGACGAAUGCAGCAGGGAGGGGAGGAAGGAUGGAUUGAUGGGGAUGUGUGGGGUGGGUGGAGACGGAGGGGGGAGGCAGCGAUAAAUAGGGGAGGCGGAGGACGGGGAGCGGGGGCGGGAGUGAGCUUCGCGGAAGCUUCCUCCGUCCCGGGGUUCCCGAUUUUUCAGUCGUCGAGCUCGCGUCCGACCCGAGCGAGCGAGCGCAAGGAGGCACACGACUGCAUUCACGGGGACGAGUAG
rnacentral:rRNA from 1 species